CGCUCUGUGGUCUAAUGGUAGGACAUCGCCUCCUUAUGAAAUGAUUGUAAGGCGAUCAGGCGGAGAUUGCGAGUUCGAUUCUCGUCGGAGCCA